AGUCUCCUGCACUAGCAGGUGAGUUUUGUGACCACAGGGCCAUCUCUGUCUUCCCACCAACGUUCCUCCUGCACUAGCCUGAGCCUGGCACACAAUUGAUACACAAAGCCAUGUGCCGAAGGCAGGAAAGCUUGCUCUGUGGACCUGGGGAGAUUCCAGACCUUUGAUCUGUGCUCUCUGGCUAUCACCCUGUUACCUGCCACCUGGGUUCCCAUGGCCCUUAACCAGAGAAGAGAGCAUGGG
rnacentral:lncRNA from 1 species